rnacentral:lncRNA from 1 species
AUUUGUGUAGGUCAUUCUUUACCACAGUAAGGAGCAGCAGCUAAUCAAAGGUUUGCAAUUCACAAACUUUUUCCAUAAUGGGUGACUGUCUGAUACCAAGAAGAAUACUCAGCACUUGUGCUGGAAGCAAUCCCACCCACAGAUACCAUCUCGAUCUGCAGCAAAAUAGCAACUGCUAUUUCUCAAUCCCAUCUUCCCGUUGCUCAAGCACCACCACAAAUGUGAGGUCUUCAGUUCAACAAGGACACAGGGAUUAAGGAGGAAAGUAGUUGUAUUGCGUACAGGUACAUAUAUGAAGCCAGCAACGAUCUGAAGCCCAGGAGGAGAAAAACAACGUGUAAAGACACUAUGGAUAAUCACAACGUCCUUUGUAGCUUGAUCAUCUUUCUUCAAAUCGCCUUCUUACCGCGGGGGUCCACCUACAGUUUCAGCCUCUGUAACCACGGCAAGAUACAAGAGGAUCUACUAAACGUUCUGGAUGGAGACACAACCUUUACACAAGAGGAGCUACAACUCGAUUUUCACACCUGCGAGGACGCGCCCUCCGAGCCGGAGGGCAAGCAGCUGUCCGAGGUUCGCCCCGGAGCGCACGCUUCCCGGC